rnacentral:lncRNA from 1 species
CUAUGUUACGUGUAGAUAUUGAUCUAUAGAUCUAAACAUUCAACCAAUCAAAUUAACUCUCUGUCCGUCAGUCAGGGCAGCUGUUCUACGUGGGUUUGCCGAGUACGUACCGCCUGCCGGUGCUGGAGCCGCCGAUGCCCCGCCUCCCCUCGUACGAGAGCGUGCGAAAGAAGGACCGGCAGCGGCAGAUCCACAUGAUGAUCGCCGACCGCUUCGGCCUGAACGGACCCAUGACUACAGAGCCGCCGCCCACGUACGAAGAGAGCAUACGGCACUCUGUUCAGUCUCUGGACGUCACGUUUGAGACCCUGACAUCAGAAACAGCGCCACCUGCUCAGGUUAUGAACACUGAACCUACAGAACAUGUGGAUGAUUUACCUCAGUAUGAGGAGCUACCUCAAAAUACCUCAAACUGCUCAACAUCUGGUACCAAUGACAUCCAGACUCCUCAACCUGACUGAACCAGGAGGAUCUGAGCUCUGGAGCUGCUGCUGCUGCUGCUGCUGCUGCUGUUUGAUUGAUUAUAAUGACGGGAUUGGUCGUUUUCACUCUGUGCCCACCCACUCUGACCCCCUGGACUGGUGUGGGUUUCUCCUUUUUCUCGGCCAAAAAGACAAUAUUUAACCAGGCUGCUGGUGUCCAGGGACAAAUGGAGUACUGCAAACACUGAGCCAUGAUCAGCCUCUUCCGGUCCAAAUCCUGCAGGCUGCUGGAGGACUGGAGCUUUGUUUAUCAAUGACUCUUCACACCUCAGCAGGAAAAACAGGGGAUUUGACUGCAGCCUUUUGCUCAGAGACCUUCGUAACCAAAACGCUGAGUAAAGAGCAAAGGAGCAACUGCAGGAUGUGAGAAUCGAGAAGCGAGACGCAAUAUUUAUUACCAUUCUGAGUUCAUUUCUUGGAAUUCUUGGCCUUGUGACAAUAAGAAACAAGCAAUACAACCAAUGCAAGAAUAAGAGGUACAACAUAUAUCAUAAUCAUACAUAAUAAAUGCAUUUAAUUAAUAUAAGUCUGACA